AGAUAUGUUCGUAGAGCCACGAACAGGAUAAUCAAAAGAAAGCUCAUUGAGA
ncrna:unclassified sequences 6A RNA